UUUCAUUUCUUCCCAAAUUAUUAUUUUUUUUUUUUUUUUUUUUGUUUCUGGAGCAGCCGAAAGAGUGAAGAAAAGGAAGCCCUAAGUCACGUUCUGGUGGUAGUUUCUAGCUAUCAAAUCUAACGAUAUCGGUUCAUGUUCUUUGAAAUAUGGAACGACUUGUUCGAUUUCAAGCAAAAUAAUCAAAUCAACAUCGAAUAGGUUUCAAUCUGUAUUUAAGUAUCAAGGAAAUUGGUUUAUCUGGUUAAUGCGAUAUUAAGGUUUUGUUGAGAUUUUCAUGAAAUUAAGAGAUUCUCAAGUGAAAUAGGGUUGCAAGUGUAAUAACCGAAAGGAAUACACAGAUUUCUCCAACGAGUUUUCAAGAGAAGAACACGAAGAUGAUUAUCAGUUGCUGAUGAUGAGUGAUUAACGAAUCUGGUGCUGCUACUAAAUUUGAGUUGGAAUAAAGGGGAUUUGAUGUUGUAGAAAGAGUGGGUUUCUCUACGAGUUCAAAUUGGAGCUUGUGACGAUCACUGGAGAUGUUACAAAGAUGGGAUAGUUCUGGUUCGAGUUAUAUGAGAAGAUUCGAGAGAUUGAUUAUGAAGACGGAUGAUGAGCAGCAGGUACAAAUGGAUGUUGAAGUGAUGGUUUGAGCUACAUGCAGUAUUGGUCUUAGGCUGAGAUGGCUGCAAAUGAAUGAUUGCAUGUGAUGAUGUUAGUUAGCUAGCCAUGGAUGGUGAUGUUGCUUUGAGAUUAUGUAUCUUAAAUGCUUAGGAUUUGAAUUGCAGUCGAAAGGAAUAGCAGAUGGAGCUGCUGGUUUAGAUGGAUUUGUAGAAUAUAGGGAAGUUGCAAGCAAUGGCAGUUGCAAGCAGGUGCAGGUUAUUGAAGCUGCAGUUCUGUUGUUGGUGGUGUUUGAACUCAUGAGACUAUAGCUGAGUUUAGCUCAAUGGAGGGAACAAAUGGAGGUGCUGAAAUGGUGUUGGAUGUGUGUCAACUGUCAAUGUCUAAGAGAUAGAGGUAAUGGUAUUGAAUCGGCGGUAUUGUUGUGGCAGAAGUGCAACCGAAAUUGGAAGCCACGACAAAGGAUUGAAGGUUUGAGAUGAAAUGAUGUGCUAUGAAUUAGAUGUAUGCUAGGAUUGAAAUGUAUGAAACCUACAGGGAAGGAGUUGGUUUUUCCGAGCUCCUGGUGGUGUUAAACUGAGGUUUGAAGGUGUCUAUGUUAGUAAUGCAGUCAAAUGGGACCAAGAAUGGAAGUCGUGGUGAUGGUAUGGCUGUGACAGAGUGAGCUGCAAAAUGGUUGAGGUGAUGUCAAAAAGGUGUGAUUCGAAUGGAUUUGCUGGUGAUUAAUAGGUGCAAGCAGUACUAUUGCUUUUGGGAGCUCGUCAUGAACCUAUUGCUGCGCGUAAGCCUCUAUUUUUGAUGCUAUGGGUUUUGAGUUGAUGCUGUUGAAUCAACUUAUUGCAGUAAAGGUAGGCCUGUCAAUAUUUGUCCGAUUUCCGAUAUCCGUUUCCGAGUUUAUCCGUUUUAUCGGAUAUCGGAUAUCAGAUCGGAUAUUUUAUCGGAUAUUUCUUCCUUAACAUAUCGGAAACGGAUUAGACCCCAUCCGAAAUCUUAAUAUCCGAUAUCCGAUAGUAUAGGAACUUAUUUGUAAUUUAUUCUAAUUUCGAAUCUGGUAUCGAAUAUUAUCGGAUAAAUAUCCCAUAAGUGUCAAUUAUGAAAAUGUUUUACAAGGG